UUCCAUUUUUCCAUGGCCAGGUUCUUUUCCUUCAUGACCAGAUAUGCCUUCCUUAUUUUCAUUCACAGGUUCUUUUCCAUCAACAGCUUCCCCCACGCCCUUUUCUGACCCUUCACUGUCUUCCCCGUCUUCAAUAACUAGUGGCUCAUUUUCAGAAUACCCUGUCAUGCCGGUGAAGUCUAUUGGAGCGGCAUUCUUAAUAUGAAAUAUGAUCACGCAUGUGUCGUACACAGGAAAACCGUUGACACGAAACCAACGUUCCUCCCAUG
rnacentral:lncRNA from 1 species